GCCACGGCUAACUACGUGCCAGCAGCCGCGGUAAUACGUAGGUGGCGAGCGUUGUCCGGAAUUAUUGGGCGUAAAGGGCGCGUAGGUGGGAUAGUCAGUCUGUCUUAAAAGUGCGGGGCUCAACCCCGUGAUGGGGCGGAAACUGCUAUUCUUGAGUGCAGGAGAGGAAAGCGGAAUUCCCAGUGUAGCGGUGAAAUGCGUAGAUAUUGGGAGGAACACCAGUGGCGAAGGCGGCUUUCUGGACUGUGUCUGACACUGAGGCGCGAAAGCUAGGGGAGCGAACGGGAUUAGAUACCCCGGUAGUCCUAGCCGUAAACGGUGGGUACUAGGUGUAGGGGGUAUCGACCCCUCCUGUGCCGGAGUUAACGCAAUAAGUACCCCGCCUGGGGAGUACGGCCGCAA
rnacentral:rRNA from 1 species